CAAGCCAAUCUAAGGUGAAMCCGCGAAUGGCUCAUUAAAUCAGUUAUGGUUCAUUGGACAUUACUACUUUACUUGGAUAACUGUGGUAAUUCUAGAGCUAAUACAUGCUACACGAGUUCCGACCAGUAAUGGAAGGAACGCUUUUAUUAGAUCAAAACCAAUCGGUCGGGUUCGACCCGGCCGUUGAAUUUUGGUGNNMWNUGGAUAACUUUGGGCUGAUCGCACGGUCUCCGCACCGGCCNACGGACCUUUNAAAUGUCUGCCUUAUCAACUGACGAUGGUAGGCUCUGUGCCUACCAUGGUUGUAACGGGUGACGGGGAAUCAGGGUUCGAUUCCGGAGAGGGAGCCUGAGAAACGGCUACCACAUCCAAGGAAGGCAGCAGGCGCGCAAAUUACCCACUCCCGGCACGGGGAGGUAGUGACGAAAAAUAACGAUACGGGACUCAUCCGAGG
rnacentral:rRNA from 1 species